CCUACGGGAGGCAGCAGUAGGGAAUUUUCCGCAAUGGGCGAAAGCCUGACGGAGCAACGCCGCGUGCAGGAGGAAGGCCUUCGGGUUGUAAACUGCUUUUAACGGGGACGAUUUUGACGGUACCCGUAGAAUAAGGAUCGGCUAAUUCCGUGCCAGCAGCCGCGGUCAUACGGAAGAUCCGAGCGUUAUCCGGAAUUACUGGGCGUAAAGAGUUGCGUAGGUGGCAUGUAAAGCGAGCAGUGAAAGACUCCGGCUCAACCGGAGGUACAUUGUUCGAACUCACAAGCUUGAGCAUGAGAGAGGUAGAUGGAAUUUCUAGUGUAGGAGUGAAAUCCGUAGAUAUUAGAAGGAACACCGAUGGCGUAGGCAGUCUACUGGCUCAUUGCUGACACUAAGGCACGAAAGCGUGGGGAGCGAACGGGAUUAGAUACCCCGGUAGUCCACGCCGUAAACUAUGGACGCUAGCUGUUAUCAGUAUCGACCCUGGUAGUAGCGAAGCUAACGCGUUAAGCGUCCCGCCUGUGGAGUACGAGCGCAAGCUUAAAACUUAAAGGAAUUGACGG
rnacentral:rRNA from 1 species